CACAAUGGAGUUUCCAAUUAGUCCCCAAGA
rnacentral:piRNA from 1 species